GAGUUUGAUCAUGGCUCAGGAUGAACGCUGGCGGCGUGCCUAAUACAUGCAAGUCGAGCGAACGGACGAGAAGCUUGCUUCUCUGAUGUUAGCGGCGGACGGGUGAGUAACACGUGGAUAACCUACCUAUAAGACUGGGAUAACUUCGGGAAACCGGAGCUAAUACCGGAUAAUAUUUUGAACCGCAUGGUUCAAAAGUGAAAGACGGUCUUGCUGUCACUUAUAGAUGGAUCCGCGCUGCAUUAGCUAGUUGGUAAGGUAACGGCUUACCAAGGCAACGAUGCAUAGCCGACCUGAGAGGGUGAUCGGCCACACUGGAACUGAGACACGGUCCAGACUCCUACGGGAGGCAGCAGUAGGGAAUCUUCCGCAAUGGGCGAAAGCCUGACGGAGCAACGCCGCGUGAGUGAUGAAGGUCUUCGGAUCGUAAAACUCUGUUAUUAGGGAAGAACAUAUGUGUAAGUAACUGUGCACAUCUUGACGGUACCUAAUCAGAAGCCACGGCU
rnacentral:rRNA from 1 species